rnacentral:rRNA from 1 species
UGGGGAAUAUUGGACAAUGGGCGAAAGCCUGAUCCAGCCAUGCCGCGUGAGUGAUGAAGGCCUUCGGGUUGUAAAGCUCUUUCAGGAGUGACGAUGAUGACGGUAACUCCAGAAGAAGCCCCGGCUAACUUCGUGCCAGCAGCCGCGGUAAUACGAAGGGGGCGAGCGUUGUUCGGAAUUACUGGGCGUAAAGGGCGUGUAGGCGGCCAACCAAGUUGGGGGUGAAAUCCCGGGGCUCAACCCCGGAACUGCCUCCAAAACUGGCUGGCUUGAGUACGGGAGAGGUGCAUGGAAUUCCCAGUGGAGAGGUGAAAUUCGUAGAGAUUGGGAAGAACACCAGCGGCGAAGGCGAUGCACUGGCCCGUUACUGACGCUGAGGCGCGAAAGCGUGGGGAGCGAACAGGAUUAGAUACCCCCGUAGUCC